CUGAACCGCCGACAGCAUUCCUGCCCCGCGCCGCGCCGUGCCGAGCACACGCAUACACAAGACCAGCAUGGCCAACGUCGAGUCCCCCGACAUACCUUUCGAGUCCCAGCCAGGCAAUGAGAGUGGGCUAAUGAGGGAAAUGCUGCGGCCGACCCCUGCGACAGCCGCAGCGAUAGCGGAGAACUGUCACAGCACCGUCGAUGCGAUGGCCGCCGCCACAAGCAGCCCCCUCCUCCCCAUCGCUGAUAGUGACCCGUUCGCUCUUCUGUACUCGACCCCGGAGAAUCAGCCGUUGUCUCUUGCGAGGCGCACCUACGGCACGGAGUCACUCUUCCAAUACUACGCCUUGCGUGGGUACAAGGAGGUCUUGAACGAGGCAGCAACCCCCGAGGCGGCGAAGGCGGUGCAGGCGUGCCUGGAGGGCGGCGUGGCAGCGGCCGUGGCGCAGCACCGCCUCAGCGACAAGAAGAACGUUCCAUCGCUUAAUACCCACGUCAUAGACAGGUGUCUCGUUAGCACUGCCGCUGCCGCCGCCUGUCCUGAUGCCUCCACCGUGGCCCUUGCGACAGACAGCGCUGUCAGCAGUAUCGUGCCCCUGUACGUCCCUCUCCGACCGGCACAGACGCAGGACGUUAUUUCCAGCUUCCGCACCCAGCGAGCGGAUGAGACGCGCGCAGCAGCGGAGCAGAAGCGCCGCGAACGGCUGCGGCAGGUGCCUGAGGCUGCCGUCUACCUCGGUCGCUACUACCCGGAGGGCUGCUACAUCGUGGACGACGUGCGGCUGCAACUGACGGAGGAGAAAUCCGAGCUCGUGGCGAGCUCCGGUGCGGCCGCAAAGCCCGGCGCGCGCAGUCCCCUUUGCACCUCAGUAGCGCUGCUGACGCCCACCGCCCCCAGCCGCGGCAGUCGCGCCUUCUCCAACCCCGGCCUUGGCCGCCACUCCGCCGUCAAGACGGCCGACAGCCUCUCCGCACCGUCGAUCGCGUCGCUGCUGCUCCGCACGCCGCAGGAGGUGGCUGCCACAAUGCAGAUGCAACAAAAAAGCCGUCAUGCGCUGGCGGACCAGAUUGAGAACGCCUUCGUGGGCGCCUUCCACCUCCGCGAUCCGGCGGCGGCGCAGCGGCAGCGCGACCGCGAGUCGAUGGAGGCGCAGCGUCGCUCCAUGCAGGCGGCAGCGGCGCUUCUGGCCAAAACGGGAGCCGCGGCCGCAGCGAAGAGACGCGUGACCGUGGGUGCCUCGAAGAAGGCCGGCGGCAAAAAGAAAAAGUCGAAGGCGGCAGCGGCGGCGCCACCAAAGCGCGAGGGCGGCGUGCCCGCCAACUUGGAGGUGUUCCGCACCUCGCUGCUGCUUUUAUGCAACGAAGACGGAGCCGUCACGCUGGACCAGCUACGCGCGCUGCUGGCAAGUGUCCCUUUCCACGUCGGAACGCUCACUGCGACCUCCUCGGCCGCCUCGGCGGGCGUCGCUGAACGUAUUUUUUACAUCAUCCACAAAGGCACGCGUGCUCCCAGCACUGCAGACGCCACCGACUUACUGCUCGCUGUCGCGUCUGUCACUACUGCCGGCAGUGGCGGUUCGCUGUCGCGGCAGGGGAACGUCGCCGGCGACAACCUCAUCUGCACCGCCUCCUACGGUCCAGGGAACAGCUUCUCUCGGUCCACCAACGCCCCUGCCGGUGCACGACGUGGCCCGGGCGCUAAUGCGCCGCUGGCGGCAGCGGGGCGAACGCGGCCGCCAUCCACGUUUUCCCCGCUGCACGUGAGCAACGCAAGCGUGAUGUCGCCGACCACGGCCGCAGCUGAAAUGGGCGGUAGCACGUCCAGUGGAGCUCACACACCGAAAACGCCGUCGCUGACGACUGGGGCUGCGUCCUCGUGGAAUGAAGCGGUGGGUGCCGGUAGCGUUGGGAAACAGCCACUACCCCACAAUAUCCCGGCUGACAUGCAUGAUGGAUGCAAGUGCGUCCUCGUUGUCGAGGUGCUGGACGCGCUGGAUGCGCUUCUGAACAGCGUCGAGACGAAGCUUGUCGUGCGGUGGGAGUGCUUCAACGUGCUGGCGGUGGAAGGGAACGGCUAUAUUCACAAGUCGCAGCUGGCGAAGCUGCGGCGGUGUGCUUACCGCGACGGCUCGGCGGCAGAAGAGCAGGCGGCGGUCACGGCGUCCAUGGUGAAAGCCCUUAGCGACGUCUUCACGGUUGUUGCGACGGAGGAGGAGGCCGCCUACCUCAAAGCGAGCAGAAAGCGAAAAAAGAAGGGCGGCGCUGCAGCCUUGGCGGCACACCAGAGCUCGCCGAUACCGUUAAGCGUCAUGCGUACGUCGCACAUGGACUACGCGGUCUUCUGUCGGUUCUUCGACGAGAUGCCGCUCAUGGCAGCCGCCUUCGCGCACGUGUGGCUGCCCCUUCUCCUGAACGGGCGCCGGCACACGGCAGCGGCGGGCGGCGCGAUGGUAAGGCUUUCGGAUGCCUCCAAGCUCUCCAUAGUCUCACCCCUACCAGGCUUCACGGCAGGAGCGACGUCGCUGAUGCCCCCCUCCCCCGGGUCAUCGGUAGACGCUGCAGGUGAAAAGGACGGAGAGGAGACGAUUGGAGAUCGCUUCUCAGCUUCGUCGCAGCUGCAGCGGAGGCCAGCACCGGCCGCAGAAGACGAUCCCAAUGCGUCUCCUCUUGAGCUCCUGGGCAACACAGUGGAUGCUCGGCAGGCGGCGGUGCGGCAGCUGGUGAUAGACCGGCAGGAGAAGUUGCAUCAGGCCUGCGACGCCGCGGAGAAGGAGAAGCUAACUGUUGCGCAGAGCGAUGAACCUGGCAGUGGCGGCACCUUUGCAGAUUUGUAGAGCCAUGUGCUACAUCCCUGCCCCUCCCCCUCACACACACACACACGAGGCCUCGUCGGCGACGCUGCUGUGCGGCUGCCGGAGAGGGAGACGGAUACUGGACGGUUUCGGUUUUCACAUGUGGCGGUAGCCCGCACAAAUAGCCACACCAGUCACCUUCACCCUGAACUCUCUCGUUGCGGUCUCUUCUCUUCGGCGCUUGUGCCUGCUCUUCAUGUAGAUGUCCAUCAGGGCAUGUCUUUGCUCGUGAUCGGAGAUGGUGGCGGGCAGUGUUGAAAGAACGCCUUCCUUCCUCUCUUCCUCUUCCGCCACCACCACCUUUCCAUUAUGUAUAGCCGUAGAAGGGAAAAGCCUCAUUGAGACUGCUCGUCUAUAAAGUGGCGGGUCUGUUGGAGCAUGUACAGUGCAGGCCUUUGACCUUCUUCCUCCCCGCCACCACCAACACACGCACACGCACACCUACCCCUUUCGUUUUGUGUAUGUUUGUGCCAUCACGGUUACCUUCUCAUUGUUGGCGCCCUUCGCAUUCAGCCUCCACGUCGAUGUUGCAUCAUCACUGUCGCAUCUCACAAGAAAACGGGCAGCGGCAGUGGCCCUCACUCGCCUGUACCUCUUCUAUGACGCAUCUCCCACUUAGCGACGUCGCCGUCGCUCGCUCUCUCUCUCUCGGAGUACAGGUGUUUGCUGGGGUUCUCGGUGAUCCUGUCGCGAAUGUGUUUUGGUGUCCGGUGUUGUCUGCUCCCGGCGGCAGGCGCAGGGGGGUGCCUAUCCGCUCGCUUCGAUUGCCAUCACACCCGCCCGCUCACCGCCCGCCACUCCCUUGUAUCCUUUCCAGGCCACCACCACAACCUCUCUCUCUCACAGCAACCUUUUCUUGUCGGCCUCGCCGUGCGGCAUGCAUCGUUCAAGCACGGCGAGAGAGAGAGAAAGGGUGGGGGGCGGUGAGCAAUGCGGGUCGUGGUUGUGUGGCAUGCGGGCUGACGGCCUUGAUGACUGUCACAAGACCGCGACGAAGGACGCGAAGGGGGGACAAUCUGUUUUCAAGUGAACAGCCGAGCCCACGAAGGGCGCGAGAGGGCGUCGACU
rnacentral:misc_RNA from 1 species